rnacentral:lncRNA from 1 species
CUGCUGUUUGGGGGCCAUGCCCAGACUGAAGCCAUGAGCAGCGCCUUCCCCCUUAAACUCAAAGCUGUGCCAAGUAGCUGGUGAACAGCAGUGCCCGCUCAGCCGCCUUGUGGCUGGCACUUUGGUUUGCUCUCCAAGCUCCGGUUCCCAUUAGUUGUUGCGGAGCCUGAGGCCCAACCCAGGGCUUCCUCCCAGUGCUGAUCCUCGUGCCAGGCUUCUGGUUCACUGGGGCCAGGGGCCCCUCAUGGUUGCCUGGGUGCCAGCAGGGGCUGGGCAGAGAGAUCCACAGGCCCAGGCUGAUCUCUUCCCUGCUCAGAGGUCUUUCCAGUCCAGAUCGUCCA